GAUGAACGCUAGCUACAGGCUUAACACAUGCAAGUCGAGGGGAAACGACAUCGAAAGCUUGCUUUUGGUGGGCGUCGACCGGCGCACGGGUGAGUAACGCGUAUCCAACCUGCCCAUCACUUGGGGAUAACCUUGCGAAAGUAAGACUAAUACCCAAUGAUAUCUCUAGAAGACAUCUGAAAGAGAUUAAAGAUUUAUCGGUGAUGGAUGGGGAUGCGUCUGAUUAGCUUGUUGGCGGGGUAACGGCCCACCAAGGCAACGAUCAGUAGGGGUUCUGAGAGGAAGGUCCCCCACAUUGGAACUGAGACACGGUCCAAACUCCUACGGGAGGCAGCAGUGAGGAAUAUUGGUCAAUGGGCGAGAGCCUGAACCAGCCAAGUAGCGUGCAGGAAGACGGCCCUAUGGGUUGUAAACUGCUUUUAUAAGGGAAUAAAGUGAGAGUCGUGACUCUUUUUGUAUGUACCUUAUGAAUAAGGACCGGCUAAUUCCGUG
rnacentral:rRNA from 1 species